GGGAUUGUGGCAUGGUGGUAGAGUGCUUGCCUGGCAUGCAUGAAGCCCUGGGUUCGAUUCCUCAGUACCA
rnacentral:tRNA from 1 species